rnacentral:ncRNA from 1 species
AAAAAAUUUAAUUUAUGUUUAGAAAUUUAUUUUAUAAUUAUUAAUAUAAAUAAGAUUUUACAGAAAAAAAAAUUUAAAUAAUAAUUUUUAAGAAAAUAAUAAUAUUUAUAAUGAGGGUAAUUAAGAAAUUAAGGAUAGUAAUUUAUAUAAAAGUAAUGAUAAAUAUUAGUGCCAGCAAUAGCGGUUAAACUAAAUGUUAUAAAUAAAUUUAAUUAAUUAGAGUUAAUAAAUAGAAAAUGAGAUUUGAAGAAUAUUUUAAAUAUAAAUGAUUUUUUAUAUGGUGAAAUAUGUAAUAAAUUUAAUAUAUUUGAAAAUGUUGAAUAUUUUUAAUAUUAAUAAGUUAUAGGAGAGACUAGGAUUAGAGACCCUAUUAUUGUAAAAUAAAGUUAAAAUAAUUAAAAAAUAAAUGUGAAUCAUUAAAAUUUAAAUAAUUUGGCGGUAUUUUAAAAAGUUAGAGGAAUUUGUUCAGUAAAUGAUAAUCCACGAUAGGAGGGUCUUAAUAGAAGGUUUUAUGUAUUGUUGUUUAAAAAUUAUUUUAAGAGAAUUAUAAUUAUAAAAUUUAAUUAAAAUUUGAAUUCAAAUCAAAAUGUAGAAUUGUUAAGUAAGAAUGAGUUACAUUUUAAUAAAUAAAAGAGUAUUUUAUAAAUUUUAAAUAUUUAGAGUAAAAAGGAUUUAAUAGUAAAUUUAAUAAAUUUAUUAGGUUGAAAAUUAAAUGGAAUAUGUACAAAUUGCCCGUCAUUUUCAUAAAUAAAUAGUUGAAAAAAGUCGUAACAAAGUAAAUGUACAGGAAUGUGUAUUUAGGU